rnacentral:rRNA from 1 species
CAGUCGCCGCGGUAAUACGUAGGGUGCAAGCGUUAAUCGGAAUUACUGGGCGUAAAGCGUGCGCAGGCGGUUAUAUAAGACAGAUGUGAAAUCCCCGGGCUCAACCUGGGAACUGCAUUUGUGACUGUAUAGCUAGAGUACGGCAGAGGGGGAUGGAAUUCCGCGUGUAGCAGUGAAAUGCGUAGAUAUGCGGAGGAACACCGAUGGCGAAGGCAAUCCCCUGGGCCUGUACUGUCGCUCAUGCACGAAAGCGUGGGGAGCAAACAGGAUUAGAUACCCGCGUAGUCCCUGUCUCUUAUAC